UGGACACUGGCAUGGAGCAGUUGGGUCAAAUGGUCUAUUGCUGAACUUUAAAUCUGGAAGAGCAUUAUUGAAAAGAGCAUCUUAGAUGGAGCGAAAAUAAAUCUGGUGAAUUGGAGGGUGGUGGGGUGAAGGAAGAGGACAGCACAAAGCAACAGAGGUUCUACAUCCAAAGUGAAAUGCCAAGCUUCUUAAGCAGCUGCCUCCUCGUAUUCUGAGCUCAAGAUACCAAGGUCUCA